UUUCAGUAUCUUAAAGAUUUUUUUAAAAAGAUUUUAUUUAUGUAUUUAUUUGACAGAGACAGGGAGAGAAGGAACACAAGCAAGGGGAGUGGGAGAGGAAGAAGGAGAAGCAGGCUUCCUGUUGAGCAAAGAGCCCGAUGUGGGGCUUGAUCCCAGGACCCUAGGAUCAAGACCUGAACCGAAGGCAGACGCUUAAGGACUGAGCCACCCAGGUUCCCCAGUAUCUAAAUGAUUUUUAACAACAAAUUUGUAUGGAGAUUUUGUAGCACAGAUAAAGAGAGAGAGGGCAUGAGGAGCGGGGAAGAGCAGAGUGGGAAGGAGAAGAAAGGGGGAAGAAUCUCAAGCAGACUUU
rnacentral:lncRNA from 1 species